GGGUGAGUGCCCGCCUGGACAUCCCCGCACUUGCCAGUGCCUGUCGUCGGGGUGGGGGUUGGAGGUGGCCCCGGCUGCCCCCCUGCUGGAGGCAGACCCCUUCUCAGAACCUGCCCGUGCGGGUGCCCUCUGCCUGAUUUCUGAUUGGACUGUUUUUCUUGUUUUAGGUUCAGGCCCUUCGUGCCACAUAUCCCAUUCGAUUUCUAUUUGGUGAGUUCUUGAGUUAAUAUCAGUUUCCUGGUCAUUGUCACUUAUACAUGUAGGUGGUUGGAGUAGGGAUUCGUGAAUGAUUUGGGGUUUUAAAGAUUUUUACUUAUGUGUUUAUUUACUUUUGGCACCUUAAGGCCUCAAGCCUACCAAGCAAACUCUCGACUCUGAGCCCCUGAUUUUAUUACAAUUAAUACAGAUUAGUAGUACAUAUAAAUGGUUCCGUGUGAUACUUCAAUACAUGUAUACAGCAUGCACUGAUGAAAUCCAGCCUUCUUUGUCCACUCUGCCCCUCUGUAGAGUUGGAGUUUUGAGUCAACUGUGUCAUUUUACGUACCAAAACAAUGUAAGCAAAGCCACUUGCAGUGGUGCAUACCUAUAAACCCAGCUACUAAGGAGCCUGAGGUAGUAGGAUUCAAAAUUUGAGGCCAGCCUUGGCAACUUAGUGACACCCUGUUUUAAAAUAGAGUUCUGGGGAUGCAGUUCAAUGGUAGAGUGCCAGUGGUUUCAAUCCCCUGUACUAAAAAAAAAAUGUAAGCAGGGUAAGGAAGAUGAUUUCUUGCCUACAUAGUUGAAAUCCGUCCUAAACAAUUGUAUCUCUG
rnacentral:lncRNA from 1 species